UAACGCGUGGGCAACCUGCCCCGUACCGGGGGAUAACAGCCGGAAACGGCUGCUAAUACCGCAUAUGCUUUGCGGGCCGCAUGGCCCGCAAAGCAAAACUCCGGUGGUACGGGAUGGGCCCGCGUCUGAUUAGCUGGUUGGCGGGGUAACGGCCCACCAAGGCGACGAUCAGUAGCCGGCCUGAGAGGGCGGCCGGCCACAUUGGGACUGAGACACGGCCCAGACUCCUGCGGGAGGCAGCAGUGGGGAAUAUUGCACAAUGGGGGAAACCCUGAUGCAGCGACGCCGCGUGGGCGAGGAAGUACCUCGGUAUGUAAAGCCCUAUCAGCAGGGAAGAAACAGGACAGUACCUGACUAAGAAGCCCCGGCUAACUACGUGCCAGCAGCCGCGGUAAUACGUAGGGGCAAGCGUUAUCCGGAUUCACUGGGCGUAAAGGGAGCGCAGGCGGCAUGGCAAGUCUGAUGUGAAAACCCGGGGCCCAACCCCGGGAGUGCAUUGGAAACUGCCAGGCUGGAGUGUCGGAGGGGUAAGCGGAAUUCCUAGUGUAGCGGUGAAAUGCGUAGAUAUUAGGAGGAACACCAGUGGCGAAGGCGGCUUACUGGACGACUACUGACGCUGAGGCUCGAAAGCGUGGGGAGCAAACAGGAUUAGAUACCCUGGUAGUCCACGCCGUANACGAUGAAUACCAGGUGU
rnacentral:rRNA from 1 species